rnacentral:rRNA from 1 species
UACGAAGGGGGCUAGCGUUGCUCGGAAUGACUGGGCGUAAAGGGCGCGUAGGCACGGCUUGCACCGUCAGAUGUGAAAUUCCUGGGCUUAACCUGGGGGCUGCAUUUGAUACGUGUGGGCUUGAGUGCGGAAGAGGGUCGUGGAAUUCCCAGUGUAGAGGUGAAAUUCGUAGAUAUUGGGAAGAACACCGGUGGCGAAGGCGGCGACU